GGGGAAAUGAUGAAACAACUUUCCCCAAAUGAUCGACUAUGAUAUCAUCCACUUCUUUUUUCUCUUCUUUGGAGCAGUCCAAGCCAGUUGUUUCUAAUCCUC
rfam:Picea glauca, whole genome shotgun sequence.